CAGCAACCCAACUCUGGAGGUGAUGGUAGCCUCUCAGGAUCUUUCCCUUGGAGUUGGAAUGGAAAACAGAACUAGGUCUGUCCAGGUUGUCCCUGGAAGAUGCCUUGGAGAAGCCCAGCACCAGACUUCCAUCCUGAAGAUCUUCAUCCAGGUGUUUUUGGAUUGACUGCUCAGUGCUAGGCACUGUGUUUGCUGCUGAGUGCUGGACAGAGAGGGGAACAAGGCUCAGCCCCUGCCCACAAGGAUCUCGCCAUGCACAACAAAUACACCAUCUGACCAGCUGUCCCACCUGCAGCCUGUGAGCAGCUGCAAGUUUACAGCUUUGACAUCCACUUGAAAGAACACCAUGCCUGCUUCCACAGGUGAACCAAAUAUAUUUGACUGGUUCCAUUGGCCUCAUAUUGGUCUUACUAUGUCUUUCUCUGACCCUCAAUGACUUUUGCUCUCUAGGGUUGGAAAAGUUGGGACAAAUGGUCACUGAGCUUAUUGAGAAUGUUUUAUGAUGCUCUGUAAAAAUAGGGUCUUGGGUGAAAAAUACACAUGGUCUCAUUGGGAGAAGAAGGCAUCAGGAAAGGGAAGGGACUGGGGAUUGAAACUCCCUGGGCCUUGUGGCUCCAGCCUGCUGAGGACAGGAGCUUGGCUUUGAUGGCAGGCCUUUGGUGAUAUUUCUGGCUGCCUGUUCCCAAGGGUACGAACCGGAGUGUGUUCCCAGCUCACCACGGGGAACUU